UACGUAGGGGGCUAGCGUUGUCCGGAUUUAUUGGGCGUAAAGAGCGUGUAGGCGGCCAGGUAGGUCUGGUGUGAAAACUCGAGGCUUAACCCUCGAGAUGUCAUCGGAAACCGAAUCUGGCUAGAGUCCGGAAGAGGAGAGUGGAAUUCCGUGGUGUAGCGGUGAAAUGACGCAGAUAUCAGGAAGAACACCAAUGGCGAAAGCAGCUCUCUGGGACGGUACUGGACGCUGAGACGCGAAAGCGUGGGGAGCGAACAGG
rnacentral:rRNA from 1 species